AAUGGCGAAUCAAGCAGCUGUUGCAGCAUUCUUCCUUUUCGCUUUAGCCGUCUUCUCCAACUUCGAGCUCUCGGCUUCUUCACUUGUCAGCGGCAAGAUCUCUUGCCUUGACUGCCACCGCGAUUUCGACUUCUCAGGUCUACUCUUUUAACUAGUUAAUACACUUGAAUCUUAGUGUAUGUCAUAAAAGUUUCUAACUUAUGAUUUCAUAUUGCAAAUCUAUUACACCACUGGUCACAUUUUUAGUUAAAUUGAUAUCUACACUAGUUUCUUGAUAUCUCGACCAUUUUUAUUGUAUAUGAUUUAUUUUUCAGGCAUUAAGGUCCUCCUUAAAUGCGACGGAGAGAAGAAACAGAUAACCGCGAUGGCAGCUUCAGACGGAUCUUUCCGCUCAGUGCUUCCAACGGCUGACAAAAAAGGCUCCGAAAAUUGUCUUGCAAAGCUCUUGGGAGGUCCUGAGCAACUCUAUGCUCACAAACACAACUUGGUUUCUGAAUUGGUCAACUCUAAACACGAUUCCAAAGUUUUAACUAUCUCAAACCCACUUGCCUUCUCUCUCUCCUGUCCCAAACCAACCCAAGAUGAUGUCGGAAGUAUGAUCGGAGAUUCCAAGACUAUUAAUUUUCCGGGGGCAGGAGGUUUUGGAUUCCCACCUGCCAGCUUCUUUCCCUUCUUACCAAUCAUUGGUAUCCCAUGAUUUCAUAAAUAAGUGUUACUUUUAAGUACUUAAAAGACAUAUUUAUACAUAUGUUUUGUUGUUUACGUGAAUGAAGCCAGCCAAGACAAAAUAUUAGCAAAUUACAUCAUUUUGUUUAGUGAGA
rnacentral:lncRNA from 1 species